AGUGAACGCUGGCGGUAGGCCUAACACAUGCAAGUCGAACGGCAGCACAGUAAGAGCUUGCUCUUACGGGUGGCGAGUGGCGGACGGGUGAGGAAUACAUCGGAAUCUACUUUUUCGUGGGGGAUAACGUAGGGAAACUUACGCUAAUACCGCAUACGACCUACGGGUGAAAGCAGGGGAUCUUCGGACCUUGCGCGAUUGAAUGAGCCGAUGUCGGAUUAGCUAGUUGGCGGGGUAAAGGCCCACCAAGGCGACGAUCCGUAGCUGGUCUGAGAGGAUGGUCAGCCACACUGGAACUGAGACCACGUCCAGACCCCUACGGGAGGCAGCAGUGGGGAAUAUUGGACAAUGGGCGCAAGCCUGAUCCAGCCAUACCGCGUGGGUGAAGAAGGCCUUCGGGUUGUAAAGCCCUUUUGUUGGGAAAGAAAAGCAGCAGGUUAAUACCCCGCUGUUCUGACGGUACCCAAAGAAUAAGCACCGGCUAACUUCGUG
rnacentral:rRNA from 1 species